rnacentral:rRNA from 1 species
AUUGAACGCUGGCGGCGGGCCUAACACAUGCAAGUCGAGCGGAGCGACGGACGGGUGAGUAAUGCCUAGGAAUCUGCCUGGUCGUUAGGGAUAGCGUCCGGAAGCGGGCGCUAAUACCGCAUACUAUCAGAUGAGCCUAGGUGGGAUUAGCUAGCUGGUGGGGUAAAGGCCUACCAAGGCGACGAUCCGUAACUGGGCUGAGAGGAUGAUCAGUCACACUGGAACUGAGACACGGUCCAGACUCCUACGGGAGGCAGCAGUGGGGAAUAUUGGACAAUGGGCGAAAGCCUGACCCAGCCAUGCCGCGUGUGUGAAGAAGGUCUUCGGAUUGUAAAGCACUGUAAGUUGGGAGGCGUUACCAACAGAAUAAGCACCGGCUAACUUCGUGCCAGCAGCCGCGGUAAUAC